UCAGGGAGCCCUUCUAAUCUAAAAAUUCUGGUCUCUGUUCCAUGAAAUUUUACAAUGUUAUCUCUAUAGUGAUAUUUCUCUACAGCAUCUGUUGCUUUUCCUUCUUCUGGAACUCCUUGUUUCCCAGUUUAAGUCUUCUUUCAGGAUGGGCCCUCUAGCUGGGGUCUGCUGGAACUUUCUGGGUAACUGCACGGCAUUUAAGUAAGUAAUUGGAUCAAGCUGUGUUAGGCUGUGGAGGCUGAGAAAGAUGCCUUACAGCCGGUUUCAGGACGGAGCACUGUGGGGUAACCGAGCAAUCCCUGAGCACCGUGUGCUGCAAGAUGGAUGAGGUGCAUUUGGCCCAGGUGAGCACACACAUCACAAGGCAAAAACUUAUUAAAAAUAAAUAAAUAAAUAAAAAUAAAAUAAAACCUUUAGGCCAGACCAACUACUGGGCAGGACACCACAGAUUGACGGUUUCCCAUUGUCACUGGAGGAGGAAUUUUCAAAUCACCAUUUCCUUAGAGAUGGAAACUUGGGCCAGCAGCUGUGGACCUGCCUGUCCCCAUAACAUACCUUGUCUUCCUGCCAGGGAGGAAUGGUGAGAGGCCAUCCUCCCAGCUGGGCUGCGUUCUGCGAUGAGACCCAAACUGCACGAUGCCUCUGCUCUGAAGAAGGGACAUUUGGCCUUUGGAAAAACAGUGUUCCCAGAACGUAGAGCAGACUAAACUAUUUUUAUGGUAUGGAAUGUUUUUCUUAACUGUAGUUGGGAUAAGAAAGUUGGGCAAAAACAAGAGGCUUGAUCAUCCUUUUGUAAGUGUGUUCACUCACUGCAACACAACCAUCUGAAGACAUCAUUUUCAAAUUGAACAAGAGGACCACGAAAGGCUCAUGGAAAAAAUGAGAUUACAGUACAUGUUUAUUUUGGUGAAUCUACACAUUUUUUUUCAUAGUGAAUAUUUUCCAUGAACCUUUGAAGAGCCUUCGCAUACUUUCAAAUAUUGCUUUUAUUUGUGAAAAUGAGAUGAGGGAGGUGGUGAGAAAGAAAAAGCAGAAUAGGAAACAGAGCUAGAAAAAUAAUACACUAAAAAAGAAAAAAGUUAAGAAUUAUGCAUUGUUGUAAUGUCCUAGAACUUUUCAUACUGAACAUGAGACCUGUUACUGGUUUUCCGAUUCCUAGUCUUUCUUUGCCAUCGUUAAGAUUCUUUAAAGGUUCCAAGGAAGGUCAUUGAUAACUGAACAAUUCAGAGCUUUCAUAAUCCCUUGCUUAUGCUCUUUGAUUUUUCUCAGAUCACUGUCCAGGAUGUCCCCAUCAACAAUGGCUUAAAGAUGUCACUGAUAGUGGUCUGACUUUCAUUGUUUCCAGCAGAACUAGGCCAUUUUCCAAAUCUUCAUGAAUUUCAUACAGGUUUUAUACUUAGGUUGUGAUUUAAAUGAUGUAUUAUACAAAUUGGAUAACUCUCUGGUCAGCUCUUUGUUGCUGCAUAACCUGAAACUGGAUAAUUUUUAAGAAUAGUUUGGUUCAUGGUCUUGGAGGUCCAGGGUCAAGGGGCUCCAUCGGGGAGGGUUUUCUUGUUGGUGGAUAACGUGGUGAGGGCAUUACAUGGUAAUGUGGAGCAAGCACAUGCGUGUCUGUGUCUCUGCCAGUAUCCAAUCAUGGAGGCCCUUCCCUGAUGCCUAAUUACUUUCAAUUACUUCUCCAAAGCCCGCCUUUCAACAUCAUAAUUGGAUUUUUUAUUCUCUUAAUUCUGUUACAAUAGGAAGCAAAUCUCAACACAUGAAUUUGUUGGGGACAUGUUUAAAGCAACUACUCCAUCAACUCCUUUAUUAUUCAAUAAUACUUUCCAAAUGCUUACUAAGUGUCAGGUGCUAUGUGGGAUGUAAUGAUAAUCCUUAGUAUAGUUAUUCCUUGAAGUGUUCUCCAUUGGUGCAUAGCAGAAAUGCACUGCUUUAAGAGGAGCCAGAUCCCACAUGGUGACAUGGUUGGAAUCUCUCUCCCUCACUGCUUGAAAGGCACACCUGCAAGUGCCCAAGGUCUAACUACCUGGAAGACUGAAGAGAGAGGAUCAAUUAUGAUCAGACCCUGCAGAGGGUGCUCAACUCUCUCUCACACAUACUGUCACAUACAUGCACACACUCUAUCAAAAAUAAAGCAGGACAAAUAUUCUCCUUGCUUUUAUUUAUUUAUUUAAUUUCACCACAGAGCAUAUGCA